rnacentral:rRNA from 1 species
AUUGAACGCUGGCGGAAUGCUUUACACAUGCAAGUCGAGCGGCAGCACGGGGGCAACCCUGGUGGCGAGCGGCGAACGGGUGAGUAAUACAUCGGAACAUGCCCAGUCGUGGGGGAUAACACUUCGAAAGAAGUGCUAAUACCGCAUACGUCCUGAGGGGGAAAGCGGGGGAUCGCAAGACCUCGCGCGAUUGGAGUGGCCGAUGUCAGAUUAGCUAGUUGGUGGGGUAAAGGCCUACCAAGGUAACGAUCUGUAGUUGGUCUGAGAGGAUGAUCAGCCACACUGGGACUGAGACACGGCCCAGACUCCUACGGGAGGCAGCAGUGGGGAAUUUUGGACAAUGGGGGCAACCCUGAUCCAGCCAUUCCGCGUGAGUGAAGAAGGCCUUCGGGUUGUAAAGCUCUCUCGGCAGGAACGAAACGGUGAGCUCUAACAUAGCUUGCUAAUGACGGUACCUGAAGAAGAAGCACCGGCUAACUACGUG